GGAUGCGGUCAUACCAGCACUAAAGCACCGGAUCCCAUCAGAACUCCGAAGUUAAGCGUGCUUGGGCGAGAGAAGUACUAGGAUGGGUGACCGCCUGGGAAGUUCUCAUGUUGCAUUCC
rnacentral:rRNA from 1 species